rnacentral:rRNA from 1 species
GGUCGAGCUGAGGACUCUGGGUCACCUCCCACCCGUGUCUAUCGUACCUUGUUGCUUCGGCGGGCCCGCCGUUUCGACGGCCGCCGGGGAGGCCCUGCGCCCCCGGGCCCGCGCCCGCCGAAGACCCCAACAUGAACGCUGUUCUGAAAGUAUGCAGUCUGAGUUGAUUAUCGUAAUCAGUUAAAACUUUCAACAACGGAUCUCUUGGUUCCGGCAUCGAUGAAGAACGCAGCGAAAUGCGAUAAGUAAUGUGAAUUGCAGAAUUCAGUGAAUCAUCGAGUCUUUGAACGCACAUUGCGCCCCCUGGUAUUCCGGGGGGCAUGCCUGUCCGAGCGUCAUUGCUGCCCUCAAGCACGGCUUGUGUGUUGGGCCCCCGUCCCCCUCUCCCGGGGGACGGGCCCGAAAGGCAGCGGCGGCACCGCGUCCGGUCCUCGAGCGUAUGGGGCUUUGUCACCUGCUCUGUAGGCCCGGCCGGCGCCAGCCGACACCCAACUUUAUUUUUCUAAGGUUGACCUCGGAUCAGGUAGGGAUACCCGCUGAACUUAAGCAUAUCAA